GUUCUUGCUUUGAUAGCACAUAUACUAAAAACAGGAAAAAUACAAAGAAUAUUAUCAUCAUCCCUACACAUGAAUGACAUGCAAAUUUGUAAAGCAUUCUGUAUUUGA
ensembl:snRNA U6 U6 spliceosomal RNA